UGCAGUCGAGCGGAAACGAGUUAUCUGAACCUUCGGGGAACGAUAACGGCGUCGAGCGGCGGACGGGUGAGUAAUGCCUAGGAAAUUGCCCUGAUGUGGGGGAUAACCAUUGGAAACGAUGGCUAAUACCGCAUGAUGCCUACGGGCCAAAGAGGGGGACCUUCGGGCCUCUCGCGUCAGGAUAUGCCUAGGUGGGAUUAGCUAGUUGGUGAGGUAAGGGCUCACCAAGGCGACGAUCCCUAGCUGGUCUGAGAGGAUGAUCAGCCACACUGGAACUGAGACACGGUCCAGACUCCUACGGGAGGCAGCAGUGGGGAAUAUUGCACAAUGGGCGCAAGCCUGAUGCAGCCAUGCCGCGUGUGUGAAGAAGGCCUUCGGGUUGUAAAGCACUUUCAGUCGUGAGGAAGGUGGUGUAGUUAAUAGCUGCAUUAUUUGACGUUAGCGACAGAAGAAGCACCGGCUAACUCCGUGCCAGCAGCCGCGGUAAUACGGAGGGUGCGAGCGUUAAUCGGAAUUACUGGGCGUAAAGCGCAUGCAGGUGGUUUGUUAAGUCAGAUGUGAAAGCCCGGGGCUCAACCUCGGAAUAGCAUUUGAAACUGGCAGACUAGAGUACUGUAGAGGGGGGUAGAAUUUCAGGUGUAGCGGUGAAAUGCGUAGAGAUCUGAAGGAAUACCGGUGGCGAAGGCGGCCCCCUGGACAGAUACUGACACUCAGAUGCGAAAGCG
rnacentral:rRNA from 1 species